UUUUGAAAAGUUAUCAUCACUACCCACUCCCACCACCAACUCCCUGCAAAAAUCAUGCAGUAGCACACCCACUGAUAUACUUCACCCAUCCCCUUCCACUUCUACUCAAUCUCCCACCCACUUCUCACAAAUCCCUCGCAAAAACGAAUGGAAACUCAACUUCAGGAGCAAGCUUUUUCAGAAUGUACAUCAAGCUCAUCUCCCUCACCUAUUUUCAGCACACACAAUUGAGCAUCCCUCUCGAUCAAGGUUUUUACUCUCCAAAUUCUAAGUUGUUUCAAAUUACGGAUUACACUUUCAUGUACCUCUUUCAUGACUUGUUUUAGACAAAGGCACCACAACAACCCAUCCACUGGACUGAAUAAAGAAAUGAACUUUACAUAUGCAUAUAUCUUUGUAUAUCUUCCCAUAUAUGUGUUUAAGCAAAAGUAUCAAAUGUUUUUACAAUUGAGAAUAAAGCAAUGAGAUAGAUAUUGAUAAACAAGCAUG
rnacentral:lncRNA from 1 species